rnacentral:rRNA from 1 species
AGAGUUUGAUCCUGGCUCAGGAUGAACGCUGGCGGCGUGCCUAACACAUGCAAGUCGAACGGUGGAUUUCGGUCCGAGUGGCGCACGGGUGAGUAACACGUAGCUGGACUGCCCUGAAGUGUGGGAUAACGCUACGAAAGUGGCGCUAAUACCGCAUAAGCUCACGGUUUUUAGAAAGGAAAAGCGUUAGCGCUUUGGGAUGGGGCUGCGGGCUAUCAGCUAGUUGGUGAGGUAACGGCUCACCAAGGCUCGACGGCUAGGGGGCCUGAGAGGGUGACCCCCCACACUGGAACUGAGACACGGUCCAGACUCCUACGGGAGGCAGCAGUGAGGAAUAUUGCACAAUGGGCGCAAGCCUGAUGCAGCGACGCCGCGUGGGUGAAGAAGGUUUUCGGAUCGUAAAGCCCUUUCUAGGUGACGAGUAGGGACGGUAGCCUAGGAAUAAGUGUCGGCUAACUACGUGCCAGCAGCCGCGGUAAAAC